GACAGAGGGCGCAAACGUUGUUCGGAAUCACUGGGCGUAAAGCGUGUGUAGGCGGCUGCGCAAGUCGGAUGUGAAAGCCCCGGGCUCAACCCGGGAAGUGCACUCGAAACUGCGUAGCUUGAGUCUCGGAGAGGUUGGUGGAAUUCUCGGUGUAGAGGUGAAAUUCGUAGAUAUCGAGAGGAACACCGGUGGCGAAGGCGGCCAACUGGACGAAGACUGACGCUGAGACACGAAAGCGUGGGGAGCAAACAGG
rnacentral:rRNA from 1 species